GAAAAGACUCACUGAGAACUUCUGAAUUUUUGUACUUGAUGUUGUUCAGGUCCAAACAUCUCAGGAACAGAAUCAAAAGAACAAAUGAACUACUAGUAUGAUCCAACAUUUUCUGACAACACGAAAAAAACACCUAAUUAAUUUAACCACAGGGAACGGUCAGAAUUUACUUUACUCCCCACCAGCAAGCUGCUGCUGCUGCUGCUGCUGCUGGAACAAAUGGUAUGUAACUCAUAUAUGAUAUAUGGGUAGGAUCAGGGGAACUGGAAGGAGCCUCCGAUCUGCGAGUUCUGCGACGGCGGGUUGAUGGCGACCCACAGCAGGGAGAUGGUGAUGGCGAGGAGGCCGGACCAGACGAAGACGAUGGUCGGCGUGCGGCCGCGGCGGCCCAUGAGGCCCUUGGCGAACGGGUACAGGUGAGCCAGCACCCAGAAGCUGAAGAAGACGCCGCCCAGGAGCUUGCUCCACUGCGGGAUCUCGCUGUAGAUGGUGCGGCUGAAGCCGACAGCGAUGGCGAUGAGGUUGACCAUCAUGAUGACGAUGGGCGGGAUCAUGAGCGAGGUCCAUUUGACGAUGUAGAGGUCGGCGAACUCGUCGUUCUCGUCGUCGGCGCCCGACUUGGAGGUCAGCGUGAAGGAGAUCUCGAUGCCCGCGAUGACCUUGAGGAGGCCCUGCAGCACGGCGGCGAGGUGGGCGCUGGUGCCGCCGAUGAGCCAGAACUGCUCGUUCCUCCACCACUCCUCCAGGUUGAUGCCCGACCACUUGAUCUCCAGCACCGCCAGCAUGCACAGCGUCAGGGUGAUCACCAGCAGGUAGGUGAGGAAGGUCACGUCCAGCUCCUUGACGAUGAACUGCCCCGAGAAGAGCGACAGCGCCGGCAGGAAGCAGUACACGAUGAGGAAGAUGGACGUGAACGGGUAGAUGCCCACGUUCAGGUACGCGAUCCUCUGAAGACACUUCAUCCUCCGGCUCGCGAGCAGCGCGUUGUUGCGGGAGAAGAAGAUCUCCACUGAGCCGGUGGCCCACCGGAGCACCUGGUGGAGACGGUCAGUCAGGUUGAUGGGUGCAGUGCCGCGGAAGGCGUCACGCUUGGUGACACAGUAGACUGACUUCCACCCACGGUUGUGCAUCCGGUAGCCUGUGACAACAUCCUCUGUGACUGAACCAUAAAUCCAUCCGACACGCUGACCCCACUCUGUCUUGUCUUCAUACCAGCAUGAGAUGACACUGAUAGCCUCGGCGACCGUGGAGGCGUCGAGAAGGUCACGGGGGACAGUGAGAGCACCAGGAGGACGGCCAUUCUUGACACCAGGGUGAUCAGCAAGCGGGCGCCCUUGGAACUCGGCAAUCGGGAUAGAGUUGAUGAGGAAGUUUGAGUUACCGAACCUCUUGGGAAAUGUUGACAUGUUCAUCUCCUCAUCAUCAAAAUCUGCCAUGCGCAGAGCCCGUGUCUCUUCAGAUGUACCUGAGGAAACAGUGCUCUUGAUCUUGCGCUUCUUCGGGAAGCAACAGCUGCAGCAGCCACCGUGUUCUGUGGAGCGCGGAG
rnacentral:lncRNA from 1 species